rnacentral:rRNA from 1 species
GACAAACGCGGGCGGCAUGCCUAACACAUGCAAGUCGAACGGACAGAACAGAGAAGCUUUUGGAGUGGAACUGGAAAGUUAGUGGCGGAUGGGUGAGUAACGCGUGGACAACCUACCUGUAAAGGGGAAUAACCUCGAGAAAUCGAAGCUAAUACCCCAUAAUAACCUUGGUUCGCAUGAAUUGAGGAGGAAAGGCGGCCUUAGCGCUGUCGAUAGAAGAUGGGUCCGCGUCUGAUUAGCUAGUUGGUGAGGUAAGGGCUCACCAAGGCGACGAUCAGUAGCCGGCCUGAGAGGGUGAACGGCCACAUUGGGACUGAGACACGGCCCAAACUCCUACGGGAGGCAGCAGUGGGGAAUCUUCCGCAAUGGGCGAAAGCCUGACGGAGCAAUGCCGCGUGAGUGAAGAAGGCCUUCGGGUUGUAAAACUCUGUCCUAGACGAAGAGAGAGUAUGUAGUAAUGGCCAUUACUAGGGACCGUAGGACUAGGAGAG